AGGAUGAACGCUGGCGGCGUGCUUAACACAUGCAAGUCGAACGAUGAAGCCGGAGCUUGCUCUGGUGGAUUAGUGGCGAACGGGUGAGUAACACGUGAGUAACCUGCCCUUGACUCUGGGAUAAGCGUUGGAAACGACGUCUAAUACCGGAUACGACGCGCGAAGGCAUCUUCUGCGCGUGGAAAGAAUUUUCGGCAAGGAUGGACUCGCGGCCUAUCAGCUAGUUGGUGAGGUAACGGCCCACCAAGGCGACGACGGGUAGCCGGCCUGAGAGGGUGACCGGCCACACUGGGACUGAGACACGGCCCAGACUCCUACGGGAGGCAGCAGUGGGGAAUAUUGCACAAUGGGCGCAAGCCUGAUGCAGCAACGCCGCGUGAGGGACGACGGCCUUCGGGUUGUAAACCGUUCUUUAGUACGGAAGAAGACGAAAGUGACGGUACCUGACAAGAAAAGCACCGGACUAACGUACGUCGACCGAGACCGAGGCCCGACGGUUAAACGUCGUUACGGA
rnacentral:rRNA from 1 species